CCGAUGCAAACUGCGAAUACCGGAGAAUGUUAUCACGGGAGACACACGGCGGGUGCUAACGUCCGUCGUGAAGAGGGAAACAACCCAGACCGCCAGCUAAGGUCCCAAAGUCAUGGUUAAGUGGGAAACGAUGUGGGAAGGCCCAGACAGCCAGGAUGUUGGCUUAGAAGCAGCCAUCAUUUAAAGAAAGCGUAAUAGCUCACUGGUCGAGUCGGCCUGCGCGGAAGAUGUAACGGGGCUAAACCAUGCACCGAAGCUGCGGCAGCGAUGCUUAUGCGUUGUUGGGUAGGGGAGCGUUCUGUAAGCCUGCGAAGGUGUGCUGUGAGGCAUGCUGGAGGUAUCAGAAGUGCGAAUGCUGACAUAAGUAACGAUAAAGCGGGUGAAAAGCCCGCUCGCCGGAAGACCAAGGGUUCCUGUCCAACGUUAAUCGGGGCAGGGUGAGUCGACCCCUAAGGCGAGGCCGAAAGGCGUAGUCGAUGGGAAACAGGUUAAUAUUCCUGUACUUGGUGUUACUGCGAAGGGGGGACGGAGAAGGCUAUGUUGGCCGGGCGACGGUUGUCCCGGUUUAAGCGUGUAGGCUGGUUUUCCAGGCAAAUCCGGAAAAUCAAGGCUGAGGCGUGAUGACGAGGCACUACGGUGCUGAAGCAACAAAUGCCCUGCUUCCAGGAAAAGCCUCUAAGCAUCAGGUAACAUCAAAUCGUACCCCAAACCGACACAGGUGGUCAGGUAGAGAAUACCAAGGCGCUUGAGAGAACUCGGGUGAAGGAACUAGGCAAAAUGGUGCCGUAACUUCGGGAGAAGGCACGCUGAUAUGUAGGUGAAGUCCCUUGCGGAUGGAGCUGAAAUCAGUCGAAGAUACCAGCUGGCUGCAACUGUUUAUUAAAAACACAGCACUGUGCAAACACGAAAGUGGACGUAUACGGUGUGACGCCUGCCCGGUGCCGGAAGGUUAAUUGAUGGGGUCAGCGCAAGCGAAGCUCUUGAUCGAAGCCCCGGUAAACGGCGGCCGUAACUAUAACGGUCCUAAGGUAGCGAAAUUCCUUGUCGGGUAAGUUCCGACCUGCACGAAUGGCGUAAUGAUGGCCAGGCUGUCUCCACCCGAGACUCAGUGAAAUUGAACUCGCUGUGAAGAUGCAGUGUACCCGCGGCAAGACGGAAAGACCCCGUGAACCUUUACUAUAGCUUGACACUGAACAUUGAGCCUUGAUGUGUAGGAUAGGUGGGAGGCUUUGAAGUGUGGACGCCAGUCUGCAUGGAGCCGGCCUUGAAAUACCACCCUUUAAUGUUUGAUGUUCUAACGUGGACCCGUGAUCCGGGUUGCGGACAGUGUCUGGUGGGUAGUUUGACUGGGGCGGUCUCCUCCUAAAGAGUAACGGAGGAGCACGAAGGUUGGCUAAUCCUGGUCGGACAUCAGGAGGUUAGUGCAAUGGCAUAAGCCAGCUUGACUGCGAGCGUGACGGCGCGAGCAGGUGCGAAAGCAGGUCAUAGUGAUCCGGUGGUUCUGAAUGGAAGGGCCAUCGCUCAACGGAUAAAAGGUACUCCGGGGAUAACAGGCUGAUACCGCCCAAGAGUUCAUAUCGACGGCGGUGUUUGGCACCUCGAUGUCGGCUCAUCACAUCCUGGGGCUGAAGUAGGUCCCAAGGGUAUGGCUGUUCGCCAUUUAAAGUGGUACGCGAGCUGGGUUUAGAACGUCGUGAGACAGUUCGGUCCCUAUCUGCCGUGGGCGCUGGAG
rnacentral:rRNA from 1 species